CACUUUUGAAAUCAAUUGCUUGAAUGGACAACAACAAAACGGUACAAUGACAAACUCACUUAUAUUAAACAUAGAACUUUUGUUAACAAACCGAAUAGAAAUACACCAUGCUA